rnacentral:lncRNA from 1 species
GUCCAAAUGAAAUCUAAAAUAAACUGUUGCUGUGCAGUUUUUCUAAGUAAUUAAUUGGUUGCUAUGCACUUUUUCAAUAAAAAUGGAUGGUUGCUAUGCAUUCUCCUAAUAUAAAAAAAAAUGGUUGCUAGGCAGUUUUACACUUUAAAUGUAUGAUUGUUAACAACUAAUGUGAUGACACCCUCUAGACCUUUGAAGUUAGGUCUGUGUAAUACAUGUUGUUUAUAUAGUCCUGAAUGAAAUCAUGUAUGGUACAUUUUUUUAUCAAAUAAGAGUGGUUGCUAAGCACUUUUGACAUGACCUUGACUCUUCAUUUUUCAUAUGCUGAUAAAAAGUGGCUUAAAACAUCCUGAUAAUUUUCUCCAUGUAUAGUAGCCUCUUUCUAUUAUAUUUCCUUUCAAAAUUCAAUUAAUAUACACAAGGUCAAAGGUCAAGGUCAUCAAUGACCUUUGACUUUUGGACAAAUUUAUGGUAAUUUAAUUGCCAAUAGUUUGCACAUCAUAGUCAUUCAAUAAUAAUUACUUUUUGUGGAUUAUUUUAAUAAAAUGGCUACAUUUUAGAGGUAAAAAGGCAAAAAUGACACAUUUUUGUUUCCAUAGCAACCAUCCUAGAACCUAAUUUCCCAAAC